rnacentral:rRNA from 1 species
GUUUCGUUACACUUUCUUAGGAAAAGUGAGUUUCGCGUGUUCUUGUCUAAUUGGGGUUGCUGGUGCGUGUCCUUGUAUGAUGAAAAUGUUUGAAUAAUGCUGGUUCUAUCGUCAUCAUGAUCAUGUCGUGGUUUGUGGUUGGUUGGGGGCUUUCCGACUUUGUUCGUCGUUGUCUUUUCCUUUUCCUUCGGAAGGUGUGGCCCGCGGUACCACAAGCUGCGCCAGAGGCCGUCGCCGCCGCCCAGCGGCCGCCGCCGCCGGCGCGGCUUCCCGGGCGAGGCGCACUAGAAGUGCGGCACCAAGCGGGCCGUCCACCGGCACCCCUCCACCAAGUGCCACAAGCGCUCGAAGCGGUAGGAGUGCCGCAGCCCGCGCUGGAUGUAGAAGCCGUAGAUGAGGUGCUGCGAGUUCAGGAGCGACCCCAUGUUGGUCGUCUGCGAGUUGUGGUAGAGGAAGAAGUUCCUGGAGCCGCGGUUGGAGCCGCAGAAGAGCCCCGAGGAGUUGCUCCAGUGCGGCGGUACCCAGCACGAGCGGUAACCACGGUGGUACUUGGAGCAGCCGAUGGAGUACCAGAUGGAGCGGCAGCUGCCGGCGUGGCGGGCGGGCGGGCAGACCGAGCAGACGGAGAUGUAGAAGUAGCCGCGGUUGAGCGUCAGGAAGCGGUUGUGGCCGCGCGAGCAGUGGACGCAGUUCUUGAAGGGCCUCUCGGCGCCGUAGCACGAGCCCUAUGAGUUCCCGAAGCAGCCGGAGUCGCCGCGGCAGAUGUGCGUCGAGAUGGAGCGGAAGAUGCCGCUGCUGUGGUUCAGCGAGUAGGAGGACUAGCGCACCGACGGCCGCCGUUAGAGGCAGCACAAGCACGUGUGGUAUGCCUAGUACGGCAUGGGCGCGGCGGCGCCGCCCGUCCUCUGGUCGCCGCUGGGGAAGAAGACGAAGGAGAUGUAGAGGUAGCGCGAGCGGACGAUGGACGAGCAGUACUAGCAGCACGUCUUCGUCAAAUGGAAGAGGGUGCCUCGGAUGAGGUAGCGGCGGCGUCGCGACGAGUAGCAGGAGAAGGAGGGCGAGACGCACCAGUAGUUCGUCCUCAUGUUCUAAAUGGCGCUCGCGCUUGACCUGCGGCGGGAGGAGCGGUUGCUGGGCGGCGGUUGGUAGUGCCACCGACCGCUCGGUCGUGUGCAGCUUUACAGGUGGCCGCGGUUUCGUCUCGUCGUCCGUAGCAGCCUCGGCGGCGGCAGGAGAAGCACGAGAAAGCCGCCCACGCACUUCUUGUACAAGGCCGGCGGCCGCUCCCCCCUCCUGAUGUGCUAGGACGUCCGCGACCACUCGCACCUGUACGACCACGACAAGCACCGCUGGUAGACGCCGCAGCCGCCGUGCGACUGCCGCUAGCUGUUGUACCCGGUCUAGCCCGUCAGCGACCCCAUGGGCCGGUUCUCGUAGUUGUGGAAGCACAGGGAGUAGUCGUAGACCUUGAUGCGGCCGGCGCAGUGCAGGCCGAAGCGGAGGCUCCAGAACGACCUCGCCAUGUUCGACGGGGCGUGCGACUACGAGUGGCCGCACGAGGACGACCGGACGCGGCCCGUGCAGGACUAGCGCGAGCCCCACGGCGUCAGCGAGAUGCACCGCAGGCACUAGUAGCCCAAGACGAAGCCGCGCGUCACCGGCGAGCACAAGCGGUAGUAGAGGCUCCACAAGCCCGAGUUCAUGAUGAGGUGCGACAUGUUGAAGCCGCCGUACCGGUCGGGGCAGCCCAGGAUGUAGGACUUGCACGACCAGCGGCCUUCCGAGAUGCUGCGGCUCCGGCUGUUCGUCGGGCCGCCGCCCAAGUCGCGCCCUCCGCCCGCGCUGUUCCACACGGACCCCCACCUCACGAAGUUCGCCAGCAAGGACUAGUAGUGCCGCCGGUGGCACAAGCCGCGCGACCACAGCGACCACGACCACACCUCCUGCACCUCGAAGAUGUUCCCCCUGUAGAUGCGCUCCAAGGCGCUGCCGCGGCCGCUCUCUGUGCUGCCGGCGGACGGGCAGCCGGUUCUAGCCUUCGGCCUCCGCCUCCUCAGUUGGGGCCAGUUACGGUGUCGUGUUUCCACUCUUGAGUCUUCCGAAACGUCCGAACUGGCCCAGUUGAGACUUCGUCGUUGGAUUGUGCCGCUGAGUACUCCACCUCACCAUUUUUUCCUUGAAUAUGCAUACAACCGCAAAAGAAAAGAUAUAUGCAUAAACCGAUGCAUAUGCACAAUGAAAAAGAAGUAGAACUCGCUGUCAUUCCUCUACAUAGAACACGCCGACUGUACCGCGUAUAAUUUCCCGAUCUCUUCCUGCGGCAGCGUGCCGGCCAUCCCCCAGCCCACGGACCAGGACGAACUACGGUCCACCAGUGACUGUGUGCAGGUACAAACAGCGCAACGUGACGUGGUUCAGUCCUUGCGCAGUAACUGGGGUUGUUGAAGAUCUAUGGUAAACCACAGUGCAAGAAACCUAGUUAAGUUCCCUAGUCGUCGCUGCUAACGUUGAGACCACGCAACAAUGAAUCUCCGUGUACGUGCGUCUGAAAUACAACAGUAGCUGUUCCAGUGCAGUUGAAACCAUACCCUCGCCGCUGUUGCUGCAUAGCUACCGAGCAAGACUACCACAGUUACCAACGAACCACCAGGUUCCUGGAGUUACAUUAUAAUAAUACAUACCCCUACGAAACAUGAAGAGUACUAGGAAAUAUUAUCCAAGCCUAGGAAAAACAUUUUUUUUCAAGUCUUACGGAGUCGUAUUAAAGGUUAUUAACGGAAGAACGAACGAGAUAAUCUCGUAGAGGUUACGUUUAGUGGUUUUGCAGUCGUUUAUAAGUCUGGUUCGGUAGGAUCGUGAAAAUAGGUAGGUUGGUCCUAGUGGUUUUACCCGAGCUGACUAGGCCCACAAGCUUUAGGGUGUUUGGCCGGGUUUGGCCCCCUCGAGCCCACCUCAAGCCUGUUGACGGUGCAACCUGAGAU